rnacentral:lncRNA from 1 species
UAUGCAUGGAUCCUGUUUUACGUUUCUUGAUGAGAAAUGUGCUAAACCAGGCUUAGUGUAUGAUAUGUUACAGAGACAUCAGUGAGUUGUGUUUUGGGAAGACAAGGUAUCAAAUCCCUUGACUCAGAAACAUAACAGAGAGGGAAGAAAGGGUUUCAAUCCCUUGACCCUUAGGCAACCGUGAGGGGAAGGACGCUGGACGUGAACCCAAGAGCGGGCCAUAGUCACUGGUGUAGGCCCAGAGGGCUGUUUCAGAUUUAUAUGUCUGAGAAAUAG